GUAGGGAAUAUUGGGCAAUGGUCGGAAGACUGACCCAGCCAUGCCGCGUGCAGGAAGACGGCCCUCUGGGUUGUAAACUGCUUUUAUCUGGGAAGAAAAAGGCCAUGCGUGGCAAAUUGCCGGUACCAGAUGAAUAAGCACCGGCUAACUCCGUGCCAGCAGCCGCGGUAAUACGGAGGGUGCGAGCGUUGUCCGGAUUUAUUGGGUUUAAAGGGUGCGUAGGCGGCUGAUUAAGUCAGCGGUGAAAGACUUCGGCUUAACCGGAGCAGUGCCGUUGAUACUGGUUGGCUUGAGUGUCGGAGGGGUACAUGGAAUUGAUGGUGUAGCGGUGAAAUGCAUAGAUAUCAUCAGGAACACCGAUAGCGAAGGCAGUGUACUGGCCGACAACUGACGCUGAUGCACGAAAGUGUGGGGAUCGAACAGGAUUAGAAACCCCGGUAGUCC
rnacentral:rRNA from 1 species